AGAUUGAACGCUGGCGGCAUGCCUUACACAUGCAAGUCGAACGGCAGCACGGGAGCAAUCCUGGUGGCGAGUGGCGAACGGGUGAGUAAUACAUCGGAACGUGCCCAAUCGUGGGGGAUAACGCAGCGAAAGCUGUGCUAAUACCGCAUAAGAUCUACGGAUGAAAGCAGGGGAUCGCAAGACCUUGCGCGAAUGGAGCGGCCGAUGGCAGAUUAGGUAGUUGGUGAGGUAAAGGCUCACCAAGCCUUCGAUCUGUAGCUGGUCUGAGAGGACGACCAGCCACACUGGGACUGAGACACGGCCCAGACUCCUACGGAGGCAGCAGUGGGGAAUUUGGACAAGUGGCGAAAGCCUGAUCCAGCCAUGCCGCGUGCAGGAUGAAGGCCUGGUUGUAACGU
rnacentral:rRNA from 1 species